rnacentral:lncRNA from 1 species
GAAGAAUUGCCCUUCCGCAAGUCUUCCCUUCCCACAUGGGGGCCCUCCAGGCCGCACCUCGGUCGCCCACCGCUUCCCUUGAGAAGGGAGACUAAAGACAGGCAUCUGGAAGCUGUCACUGUGGCGCGCGGGCAGACAGGGGAUCCCAUUGGAGAGGAAGAGCCGUAGUAGUCGCUGCUGCCUUCGGCCGACCCAACGGCCGCCUGCUUGGGAGGAAGAAAAAGAACGCCCCCGCUGAAGAAUUAAGGCAGCCAUUGGUUGCUCUAGGGCUCUAUUCAAUGCAGGAGAUGACUACGGGAAGUGUGAAUACCAGAAGGCAAGGGUUACAAGAUGGGCAGUACAAUAGAGGAUGGACUGGAGUUGGAAAAGACUAAAGCAGCAAGUUUGAUAAGGAGGCUACAGCAAUAGUCCAGGUGAAAGACGCAAGAGCCCAAAAUGCAGCAGUGGCCAAGGGAAUGGAUCUGAGAUAAAGUUCAGAAGAUAGAGUUGGCAGGGCAGGUGAGGAGAAGAGAAGAAGGCCACAUGAAGAUGGAGCAAGAGAUUGGAGUGAUGUGGCCACAAGCCAAGGAAGCUGAGGAAUGAAGACAGCUAUCAGAAGCUGGAAGAGGAAAAGAAUUCUCUCUUGGGGUCUGCAGAGGGAGAACAGCCCUGCCAACACUUCCAUUUCCAAUGUCUGGACUCUAGAACUGUGAGAAAAUAAAUUCCCAUUAUUUUAAGGAACACAGUUU